rnacentral:rRNA from 1 species
AACGAACGCUGGCGGCAGGCCUAACACAUGCAAGUCGAACGAGAUCUUCGGAUCUAGUGGCAGACGGGUGAGGAACACGUGGGAACAUCCCUUUCAGUUCGGAAUAACGUUGGGAAACUAACGCUAAUACCGGAUACGUCCUUCGGGAGAAAGAUUUAUCGCUGGAAGAUUGGCCCGCGGCUGAUUAGCUAGUUGGUGAGGUAAUGGCUCACCAAAGCUAUGAUCAGUAGCUGAUCUGAGAGGAUGAUCAGCCACAUUGGGACGGAGACACGGCCCAAACUCCUACGGGGGGCAGCAGUGGGGAAUAUGGGACAAUGGGCGCAAGCCAGAUCCAGCCAUGCCGCGUGAGUGAUGAAGGCCUUCGGGUUGUAAAGCUCUUUUAUCCGGGAAGAUAAUGACUGUACCGGAAGAAUAAGCCCCGGCAAACUUCGUGCCAGCAGCCGCCGUAACAC